rnacentral:rRNA from 1 species
CUACGGGUGGCACCAGUCGAGAAUCUUUCGCAAUGGGCGAAAGCCUGACGAAGCGACGCUGUGUGAACGAAGAAGGCCUUCGGGUUGUAAAGUUCUUUCGCAUGGGAACAAGAAAAUAUGGUAAAUAAUCAUGUGAUUUGAGUGUACCAUGUAAAGAAGCACCGGCUAACUCCGUGCCAGCAGCUGCGGUAAUACGGAGGGUGCUAGCAUUAAUCGGAUUUAUUGGGCGUAAAGGGCGCGUAGGCGGAUAGGUAAGUCAUGUAUGAAAUUCCAGAGCUCAACUCUGGAGCUGUACGUGAAACUGCUCAUCUAGAGGUUAAGUGGGGAAAAUGGAAUUCCACGUGUAGCGGUGAAAUGCGUAGAUAUGUGGAAGAACACCAGAGGCGAAGGCGGUUUUCUAACUUAAAUCUGACGCUGAGGCGCGAAAGCGAGGGGAGCAAACAGGAUUAGAUACCCGGGUAGUC